rnacentral:rRNA from 1 species
CAGUCGCCACGGGAAUACAGAGGGUGCAAGCGUUAAUCGGAAUUACUGGGCGUAAAGCGCGCGUAGGUGGUUUGUUAAGUUGGAUGUGAAAUCCCCGGGCUCAACCUGGGAACUGCAUUCAAAACUGACUGGCUAGAGUAUGGUAGAGGGUGGUGGAAUUUCCUGUGUAGCGGUGAAAUGCGUAGAUAUAGGAAGGAACACCAGCGGCGAAGGCGACCACCUGGACUAAUACUGACACUGAGGUGCGAAAGCGUGGGAAGCAAACAGGAUUAGAUACCCGGGUAGUCCCUGUCUCUUAUAA